UUUAUGUUCGAAAAAUAUUGAUUCAUAUAUAUUCACUUCACAUGAAUUGACUAGAGAGGAAAUUGAGAGAACAAGCGCAAUUUUUUUCAUUUCUAUUAUACUUUAUUUUAUUGUUUUGUAAUUUUUUAUUUUAUUUAAUUUUUUGUAAAUUUGUAAGAUCGCUUGAUUCUUUGAUUUUUAUAAAUUCACUUUAAAAAUGAUGGAUUUUAUAUAGUUAAACAUUAUAAUAUACCUAUAGAAAACUUUUCUCUGUGUAUUCGCUAGGGGUAUAAGUGAGGUUAGUGAAACACCAGAAAAAGAUUGAAGAGUUCAUAGACUAUACGUAGAAGAAUAUUCAAAAAGUCCAUGAAACUUAGUAAAGAUACCAAAAAGAAAAAACUAGUGGAUCCAAUUUUUAAGGUUGUUUUUUGGCUUACUAAAUCAAUUAAGAAUUUAUUUUGAACGCCUAACAAAACAAAAAAGUGGGUGACUUUACUUAAAAGGAAAGAAUAAUAAUACAAGGUGAAACUACUUUCUAAAGUGAAGUUUCAAAAUGUAUACAAAGGGAAUCAGUUUUUCUGUUUCCUUACAGAAGUAUUAUGUUCAACCCUGCUUGGCAAAAGACUAACCUUUUUUUUAUAUGUGGCAAAUAGGACGAAAACUUGUAUCGAUAUAAAUUGUUUUCUAAAGCUUAUGGAGAAACCGAUGCAGAUCCCAAAAUGUAAU